rnacentral:snoRNA from 1 species
AAUCCAUGGUGAGGGCAUUUGCGUAAUAACUCUUUCGAUCUUUUCCAUGCCUUGUAUAAGGAUUUGUCAUCCAUUUGCCGGAAAGUGUGAUCUCAUUUUGCAACU